UACGUAGGGUGCGAGCGUUAAUCGGAAUUACUGGGCGUAAAGCGUGCGCAGGCGGUUGGGUAAGACAGAUGUGAAAUCUAUGGGCUUAACCCAUAAACUGCAUUUGAAACUGUAUCUCUUGAGUGCUGGAGAGGUAGAUGGAAUUCCUUGUGUAGCGGUGAAAUGCGUAGAGAUGGGGAGGAACACCAGUGGCGAAGGCGGCCUGCUGGGCUUUAACUGACGCUGAGGCACGAAAGCGUGGGUAGCAAACAGG
rnacentral:rRNA from 1 species